UCCUAACUAUUUUAUUAAUUAAAUUAUUAUAACAAUAUAUCACAUAAUUAAUUAUAUUACCAGAAUAAUAAUAUUGCAGAUUUUUAUUUAUUAGUUAAUCAACAUUAACUUUGUACCAUUUAUAAAAUCGAAAUGUAAAAUAAUCGGGUUUGCAUAUGGUUAAAAGUUUGGUUUAGUCUAUUUUGUUAUUUUUAUCUUAAUUUCAAUUGGUGAAAAAUUAUGUAGCCAAACACAUAAUUCAAAAACAUAGUCUAUAUCAACAAAAUAAUAACUUAAAUUAAAAAUUAUGUAACCAAACACAUAACUUAAAUAACAUAUUAUAUAUAUUGUCACUUUAUUUUUCACACCAUAUAACUAUUUUACUAAAUAAAAAACUUUUUUUCUAUUUCACUUAAUUUAGCCAAAUACAUAGAAAUAGUUUUAAAUUUUUUUUUUAAUAAAAUAAGUUAGGCAUAGACACUCAGGUACCCAUUCACGUAUGGAUUGUUUCUUUCGGGUAUCAGAUUUUUUGGGUUUGAAAUUAGGCCCCGCUUGGAUAUUAUAAAUUUAUGUAUGAGUUUCGAGUUGGGUUCUUUCGAUGUGUUCGGUUCUGGUGUAUAGAAAACUAAAAAUAUCAAAAUAACUAAUAUAUCUGAAACGGGUUCAAAAUAUUUGUACCAAAAAUAACUAUACUAUCCGAUUCAAUCUGAUCUUUUGAAUAAAAUUAAUUAUAUAGCAACACAUCUAAAAUAUAUAACACUAAUCUUAAAAAAUAAAUAUUAAUUUAUAAAAAUAAAAUAACUCAUAUUUGCGUGGACGCGCAUGUCAAGCUCUUGUUCUUAUUUAAAACUCAGAUCAAAUUACAUAUUGAAUCACCGGUUUACCGUUUUGACAGCGAAUCCGGGUCAGGUUUAGUGCUGAUUUUAAUAGACAAUUUUCGAUCAAAUCGACUUUUUUAUUAAACUGGGAUUAGUUGUUACUGUUUAUGUUAAAAUUGGAAAAUAGAGAGAAGAGAUGUGAUUUCACAUUUUCUGUUUUUUUUGUGAACCAAAAUACAUAUUUAUUUCCAUUUUCUUGGCUACACAAUGGGAUUCCACACUGUUGCUUCUUUCAUGAGAAAACUAUGGGCUCACCUGCCCAUGUGACGCGGAUCCAUAAACGUAUCAAUAAAAUGUCGUUUUCUUCGUAGCCCUUUGUCACAGUCACUUUGUAGAUUUAACAAAAACAAUUAAAUAAAAGAAAUUAAAUAAACCUCGCAGGAAGGCUAGAGGAGGAUGAUAGGCACGUGUACGGUCCCCUCUUGUUACCUCUCCGAUCACUGACAGCUCAAUAAAUCCAACUAUUAAAGGCCGUCGAUUUCACCACUUUAUGUAUCCAUUCAAGGCUCGACACGUCAAACACAGGGAGGGGGAGGGGAGAUGGAAGAAACAUGCUACUACUGUUGACGUAGAUAUACAUUACUAUCGAUACUUUAAUUUGUAUGUACACUACUGGUAGUUUUUCCCCACUGAAAAGAUGAUUCUAUCAAAGGGAAAUUGCCAAAAAAAAAGAAAAGGAAAUUGCCCAUUAUAUACUUAAAAAAAAUAUGUAAAUUUGCUAUUUAAUCAAAAACAUCCAUUCUCUUUUUUUUUUUUAAUAUCUCUCUUGCCUCUCACUAAAAAUCUAAUUAUGUAGCAAAUAAACCUUUAUAUUGAAAAAAAAACCUUUAUAUUGAUUUAAAACUGAUAUAUGAACCAACAAUUAUAAUCUCAGAGAUCAAUAACUGGCGGAGAAAUAAAAGAGAUCAAUAACUGGUGGAGAAAAUAAAAGUUCCCAAAAACAUAAGUCCACAAAUGAAAAACAAGAUGAAUACAUGAAACAAACAUCUAACCUAGUAAACACCAUACUUAUAAUUAGUACCAUCAAAUAUAAAUGAUUGAAGCUCAUAACUUCAAGGAACAAAUUUUCAUGAAAACAUCAGCAAGGUUUCUUUAAGAGAGACAAAUCGAGGAAACAAAACAAAGGGAAUCCACUAACUUACGAAACCUCUUAUAGCGAAUAGUUCAUGCAAUUAAGAGACCAAAUCUUCUACCACCAGCAAGACAAAAUUUUUAAAUUCCUAAGCCUUCAGCCGGAAAUGGUGAUGGUGGAGUAAGACCGAUUUGAAACGCCUGAAUGAAGCAUGACGAAGAGAUGCAUCUCGAUAAGAUCUUAAGGUAAAUGAAAAAGAACGUAUCAAAUCAACCACUGAUUCAACCACUCUGGAGAAACCGAGAAGGAAAAAAUUCAAAAUCAGAGCGGUACGGAGACGGGACUGAGACGCUAACACGUUUCAGGUUCGAUCCACCUGUCUGCGCGAAACUAAGUCACAAUUAUCCUGAUCACCUAACACGGAUAUGAGUCUAUGCUUUAGGGUUCAUUUGAAUACCCGGAGAGAGGAUCUCUCCGUGGACUGCACUUUUCUUUGGAGGAUUAGUCUGGGCUUCUCCAUGGGCCUGGGAUACACCAGGUUAAUCAAAAGAAAAAAAAUCUAGAAAGUAGUCAAACCGUUGAGCAGAAAUAGAGAAAAAAUGAAGAUCCGAUCCGAAGAAAAACAUAGUAACAAGCUAACCCGACUCCGGCUCAAGGGAGCAGCCGGAAUUGCGGAACCGACGAUAUCAAUUUGAAUAAAAACUAGAGAGAAGUCAGAGAUUUUGAAGAGAGAGAGAGAAGUGAGGACAUUUCAACUGUGCAUUCAUCAUCAACUAACUAGUUGAAUCCGACAAAAGUUUAAGAUGAUAUCCUAAUCCAAAAGGGGAAGAGGCUGAGCGGUGAGGUUUCUCCUUGUUUGCGUCGUAUUGAUGUAAGAUAUGAGGACGCUCGAGUUUUGUCUUGGUUACUGCUUCUAGUCAGAGGAUUCAUAUAUCUACCCAGGAUUAAGUCUUUGCCACCGUUGGUUCCUCUCCUUUCCUUCUUCCAAGAGAUGAAUAGAGGGCGUCUCUAGUUUGUGGUCGUCCUGGCAGCCUCGGUGGCCCAGUCAAUCAUGGCAAUAUAAAGAGGUCUCCUUGGGUGGCUCUCGGUUAUAUCAUCUCUGGGGCUCUAAUUUUUAGAGCAGUACAAAGAGGUCAAAUUCUUCCAAUUCAUGUUGUGUUGUGUUAAGGAGGAUUUUUCUUAUUUUUCCGUUGUGUGAUACUUGUAGUCUCAAGUUCUGGUCUUGCUCAGAUCUAAUACUUGUGUAGUUCUUGUUGGUCUUUAGGUUAUGUUUUUGGUUAAUGAAUAUCAGGUUUGUCUCUACGGAUUUGGAGCUUGUGACUUUGAAGAUUUAUAAUUUUUUUUAUCAAUGUAUUUGAACAAUGUAUCACAUUUAAAAGCCAAAUGAUGUAUAUUUUUCUAUUAUCA